UCAUUUCCUUCUUGCUUCGGUAAAUUUCUUAUGUCACCACUAAAUGUUGUCUCAAUAAGUUUUCUCAUGAGGCAAACGCAAAGCGUUGUCGCUUAUGGUCCCCACCAUUGUUCACACUCACUCUACCCAAAGGGUCGAAGACUCUUCAUCAACAUGGCGAAGAAAAAGAGCAAAAAUAAACGAAUAAAGGGAGACACAAUAAUUGCGCCGUUGAUGCAGUCGGAGUGGGCCUUGUCACCACUCAUACUUACAAAUUUUUGGUGAUUAGUCAAAGAUCGAAUCCCGCAAAGAGCGGCUUUAUUCAGAUGGUGUGAAAGGCUAUUAUGUAAUAACUAUCGGAAUCUACAACAC